rnacentral:rRNA from 1 species
AGAGUUUGAUCCUGGCUCAGGACGAACGCUGGCGGCGUGCCUAACACAUGCAAGUCGAACGAGUCCACCCUUUCGGGGGUGAGGCGAGUGGCGGACGGGUGAGUAACACGUGAGCAAUCUGUCCCUGUGCGGGGGAUAACUCGGGGAAACUCGAGCUAAUACCGCAUGGGCGGUUUCCAGGCUCUGGAGAUCGGGAAAGGUGGCCUCUUUACAAUGCUGCCGUGCAGGGAGGAGCUCGCGGGCUAUCAGCUAGUUGGUGCGGUCACGGCGCACCAAGGCGACGACGGCUACGGGGUCUGAGAGGACGACCCCGCACAUUGGAACUGAGACACGGUCCAGACUCCUACGGGAGGCAGCAGUGGGGAAUUUUGGGCAAUGGCCGAAAGGCUGACCCAGCGACGCCGCGUGUGGGAGGAAGCCCUUCGGGGUGUAAACCACUGUCAGGGGGGACGAAUGUACGGGGCGGGAAUACUGCUUCGUAGUGACGGUACCCUCAAAGGAAGCACCGGCUAACUCUGUGCCAGCAGCCGCGGUAGUACAGAGGGUGCAAGCGUUGUUCGGAAUCACUGGGCGUAAAGCGCGCGCAGGCGGGAAAGCAAGUCUGUAAGUGAAAUCCAGCCGCUCAACGGCUGGGCUGCUUCGGAUACUACUUUUCUAGGGACCGGUAGAGGCUGGUAGAAUUGCAGGUGUAGCGGUGGAAUGCGUAGAGAUCUGCAAGAAUACCCGUGGCGAAGGCGGCCAGCUGGGCCGGGUCCGACGCUGAGGCGCGAAAGCGUGGGGAGCAAACAGGAUUAGAUACCCCGGUAGUCC